AACCAUCUAUGUAGAAAGAGUCCUCAAGGGAUAAAUGAAGUGGGAAAAUGGUGCAGUGGUUUAAGCUUGCAGCUAUCUUAAAAUUUUUUAAAGAGAACUACUGUCCUUUUGCAAUCAUUUGUUGGAAGUUAAAUGAGUUUCUGAUUUCUGGCUCCUAUUCUUUCCCUUUUUCUUUUCUUCAUUUCUAUUCUUUCUUUCUUUUCUUUAUAU
rnacentral:misc_RNA from 1 species